rnacentral:rRNA from 1 species
UACAGAGGGGGCAAGCGUUGUUCGGAAUUACUGGGCGUAAAGGGCGCGUAGGCGGCCCGCUAAGUCGAACGUGAAAUCCCCGAGCUCAACUCGGGAACUGCGUCCGAUACUGGCGGGCUUGAAUCCGGGAGAGGGAUGCGGAAUUCCAGGUGUAGCGGUGAAAUGCGUAGAUAUCUGGAGGAACACCGGUGGCGAAGGCGGCAUCCUGGACCGGCAUUGACGCUGAGGCGCGAAAGCUAGGGGAGCAAACGAG